ACAGGAUUAGAUACCCUGGUAGUCCACGCCGUAAACGAUGUCGACUUGGAGGUUGUGCCCUUGAGGCGUGGCUUCCGGAGCUAACGCGUUAAGUCGACCGCCUGGGGAGUACGGCCGCAAGGUUAAAACUCAAAUGAAUUGACGGGGGCCCGCACAAGCGGUGGAGCAUGUGGUUUAAUUCGAUGCAACGCGAAGAACCUUACCUGGUCUUGACAUCCACGGAACUUUUCAGAGAUGAGAAGGUGCCUUCGGGAACCGUGAGACAGGUGCUGCAUGGCUGUCGUCAGCUCGUGUUGUGAAAUGUUGGGUUAAGUCCCGCAACGAGCGCAACCCUUAUCCUUUGUUGCCAGCGGUCCGGCCGGGAACUCAAAGGAGACUGCCAGUGAUAAACUGGAGGAAGGUGGGGAUGACGUCAAGUCAUCAUGGCCCUUACGACCAGGGCUACACACGUGCUACAAUGGCGCAUACAAAGAGAAGCGACCUCGCGAGAGCAAGCGGACCUCAUAAAGUGCGUCGUAGUCCGGAUUGGAGUCUGCAACUCGACUCCAUGAAGUCGGAAUCGCUAGUAAUCGUGGAUCAGAAUGCCACGGUGAAUACGUUCCCGGGCCUUGUACACACCGCCCGUCACACCAUGGGAGUGGGUUGCAAAAGAAGUAGGUAGCUUAACCUUCGGGAGGGC
rnacentral:rRNA from 1 species